rnacentral:sRNA from 1 species
GCUGGGCAUGGUGGUGCAUGCCUGUAAUCCCAGUAGCUCGGAGACUGAGGCAGGAGGAAGGUGAGUUCAAAGCCAGCCUCAG